CCCUGGCUCAGACGAACGCUGGCGGCGUGCCUAAUACAUGCAAGUCGAGCGGAAUGAUGAAGAAGCUUGCUUCUUCUGAUUUUAGCGGCGGACGGGUGAGUAACACGUGGGCAACCUACCUUGUAGAUUGGGAUAACUCCGGGAAACCGGGGCUAAUACCGAAUAAUCCAUUUUGCUUCAUGGCAAGAUGUUGAAAGGCGGCUUCGGCUGUCACUACGAGAUGGGCCCGCGGCGUAUUAGCUAGUUGGUAGGGUAAUGGCCUACCAAGGCGACGAUACGUAGCCGACCUGAGAGGGUGAUCGGCCACACUGGGACUGAGACACGGCCCAGACUCCUACGGGAGGCAGCAGUAGGGAAUCUUCCACAAUGGACGAAAGUCUGAUGGAGCAACGCCGCGUGAGUGAAGAAGGUUUUCGGAUCGUAAAACUCUGUUGUAAGGGAAGAACACGUACGAGAGUAACUGCUUCGUACCUUGACGGUACCUUAUUAGAAAGCCA
rnacentral:rRNA from 1 species